rnacentral:lncRNA from 1 species
GGAGAUGGAAGUUUUAGAUGAAACACUUAAUUGCAGUCCAAGUGGUGGAACAGAUGAAAUGCCUAACUGUGAUCGAAGUGUUGGAACAGAUGAAACACCUAAUUGCAGUCCAAGUGGAGGAACAAAAGAAAUGCUUAAUUGUGAUCGAAUUUUUGGAACAGAUGAAAUACUUAAUUGCAAUCAAAGUAUCGGAACAUAUGAAUCGCCUAAUUGCAAUCAAAAUAUCAGAACAUAUGAAUCGCCUAAUUGCAAUCAAAGUAUUGAAAGAUAUGAAACAUUAAAUUGCAAUCAAAGUGUUGGAACAUAUGAAACGUCUAUUUGCGAUCAAAGUGUUGGAGCAGAUGAAACGUUUAAUUGUGAUCAAAGUGUUGGAACAGAUGAAACACCUAUUUGCGAUCAAAGUGUUGGAACAGAUGAAACAAUUGAUGAAGAAGAUAAUAGUGUGAAUGAAAUUAAGAAAGUGCAUGACCAGAAAAUUGUAGAAAU